rnacentral:rRNA from 1 species
AACGAACGCUGGCGGCAUGCCUAACACAUGCAAGUCGAACGAACCCUUCGGGGUUGGUGGCGCACGGGUGCGUAACGCGUGGGAAUCUGCCCUUUGCUUCGGAAUAACAGUUAGAAAUGACUGCUAAUACCGGAUGAUGUCUUCGGACCAAAGAUUUAUCGGCAAGGGAUGAGCCCGCGUAGGAUUAGGUAGUUGGUGGGGUAAAGGCCUACCAAGCCGACGAUCCUUAGCUGGUCUGAGAGGAUGAUCAGCCACACUGGGACUGAGACACGGCCCAGACUCCUACGGGAGGCAGCAGUGGGGAAUAUUGGACAAUGAGCGCAAGCCUGAUCCAGCAAUGCCGCGUGAGUGAUGAAGGCCUUCGGGUCGUAAAGCUCUUUUACCAGGGAUGAUAACGACAGUACCUGGAGAAUAAGCUCCGGCUAACUCCGUGCCAGCCGCCGCAGUAAGAC